rfam:Allomyces macrogynus ATCC 38327 genomic scaffold supercont3.36, whole genome shotgun sequence.
CACCCGGCUUUUCUCAAAGCCACAAAUUGUCGGCUAUCGUGCCGU